AGAAGGGGGCUGCUCACCCUGCACUGCUGGAGGGGCUCAGGUAUGGCCCUUCCCUGGCAGCUGUGGGAAACCAGCAAGCUGUGGUGCCUCUUGGAGGUGCCUGUACUCCACGCAUGGAGCUUGGGAGAUAAAGCCUCCUCAAAGGAAAGGCAACACAUGCAGAGCACGAUCUGCUUCUCCCACCGCCACUGCGACCUCUUCUAAAUCACUGUGGGCUGGAGGAAGUCACUCUGAGGAAAAUCAAGCUCACAAAGUCUCUAAGAGCAAGCGGCAACUUCAGAAAACAGGGCCAGAGGCUUUCCUGCUUAUACAAGCUAACUCUCUGCAGACAAGGGCCAACAGGCUUUCAGGAUGCGAGGCAUCACGCACCGCCUUUUGCACAACAUAAUCCCCCGAAACCAAAUAAAGACGAUGCCUCCGUGGGCAAAAAGGCUGGAACGGGACUCGGCGAUGGCGCUUUGUCUUUGGGAAGCAGUCAUUAGCGUAAAUGAACAGCAACAAAACCAAACAAGUUCUUACCCAGUUCAACACCCACAUCCAAAAAAACAUGGGACUACAAUGGCUCGAUUCCCCUCGACAACAACAAAAGAAAAUGUUAUCUGAAAGCAUAAAUGCUCACUGAGGCCAAUAUUUUGCUCUGCAGACUCUGAUUGGCUUCAGGGUAAAUUAUCAGUGAUUACAGCUAAUACCAGGAUA